UAUCAUGAUGCAGUUUUCUUCAAAAUCAUGGUUGCUCUUCAGAGCCUUCAAACAGCUGUUUUUGUUUUGGGUUUUUUUGUUUGGUUGGUUUUAUGCUGCAUUUAUAGAUGUCUAGGCACAAUGAUGGGCCUGCAUAAGCUACUCUACCAUUGCAAAAAUGCAAAAUCACAUUUCAUAAUGCAAUUUGCUGUUGGCAAAUUCGAUGUGAAUCUCAGGUCAUCAUUAUUGCCAAUCCUGUAAUUUUAAAUCUAUCCCCAUGAAAUUGAAUCUGAUUUGAUGUAAUCUAUCUCCACAAGAAUUUAUAGCUGGAAAGGACUUCAGAAUAUGUCCCUUUCUAAUCCCCCUCACUUUGCAAGUGACACAGCAAUUUAGCGACGAAGCUGAGAUUAGAACUCUGGCCCCCAGACACCCAGUCUAGUAUGUUUUCUUACACAAUGGUGCCUCAUGAAUAAUGCCAAAAGUGUAUCCUCAAAGUUUUGUACCUACAUCCUUGAAGAACUUCUUGGGCAGGCUUAAGCAUUUCUUAGUUGCAAUGGCUUGAUAAUAAAGUUACUCUUAAAGUUAUACAAGGAAUUUCUUCAACUAUACCAAAAAAUUUUAGUCAGACCGUUCUCUCAGCAAAAAAAGAAAAAGAAAAAAAAAAAACUGUCAUCCUUUCAUCUUUCAUCUUUUAUCCCUUAAAAAAAACAAUGUGUCCCAGAUAAACGAAUGACAACUCUUGCAGACACAAACAUACUAGACAGCCAGGGGUAGGGAUAAUGGUUCUAGAACUGGAAAAAUUUCCACAUCUAUUGGUGGAAACUUUGGGAAUGAAACCAGAGAAGCCUAUUAAUCUAAAAUGAGCUGCAGCACCUCAGCCCAGUUUCAGCCAAACAACUCCCCUGCUGGUGCUUGCUGCUGGCACUAACUGCAGUUAAAGAAAGUUCAUGUUUCUCAGGAGGCCCUAGUAUAGGAAAGGCAUCUUUAAUUUAAGAAAGCAGGAUAAAUCUCUCUCUCUCUCUUUCCCCCUAACAAGUGCUUUCACAGGCCUAGUGGUGGGAGUGGAAUUCCGUAGGUGGUGUCUAUGUAUUGCUUCAGUCCCUAGAGAGUCAGCAUAUUAAGUAACUGCUUGCCCUAAAAUCAACC
rnacentral:lncRNA from 1 species